rnacentral:rRNA from 1 species
AUUGAACGCUGGCGGUAUGCUUAACACAUGCAAGUCGAACGGCAGCAUGUUUUAUCUUCGGAUAAAAUGAUGGCGAGUGGCGGACGGGUGAGUAACACGUGGGAAUCUACCUUAAAGUGGGGAAUAGCCUGAGGAAACUCAGGGUAAUGCCGCAUAAUAUCUAAGGAAGAAAGCUGGGGACCUUCGGGCCUGGCGCUUUAAGAUGAGCCCGCGUCGGAUUAGCUAGUUGGUAGGGUAAAGGCCUACCAAGGCUACGAUCCGUAGCUGAUUUGAGAGAAUGAUCAGCCACACUGGGACUGAGACACGGCCCAGACUCCUACGGGAGGCAGCAGUGGGGAAUUUUGGACAAUGGGCGAAAGCCUGAUCCAGCAAUACCGCGUGUGUGAGGAAGGCCUUCGGGUCGUAAAGCACUUUCAGUUGUGAAGAAACAAGCAUGGUAAAUAGCCAUGCCCAAUGACGUUAUCAACAGAAGAAGCACCGGCUAACUCUGUGCCAGCCGCCGCCGUAACAC